rnacentral:rRNA from 1 species
GCGGAAUCACUGGGCUUAAAGGGCGCGUAGGCGGGCGGUCACGUCCGGGGUGAAAUCCCACGGCUCAACCGUGGAACGGCCUCGGAUACGGGCGGCCUCGAGGGGGGUAGGGGCAUGCGGAACUGUGAGUGGAGCGGUGAAAUGCGUUGAUAUUCACAGGAAAUCCGGUGGCGAAGGAGGCGUGCUGAACACAAAAUGACGCUGAGGCGCGAAAGAAAGGGGAGCAAACGGG